rnacentral:tRNA from 1 species
GAGAGAGGAACUCGAUCGGUUGAGUGCUGGCCUGUCGCGUCAGAAGAUGCGGGUUCAAAUCCCGUCUCUCUCG